rnacentral:tRNA from 1 species
AGGUGGGACAACCCGUCAGGACGUGCAGUUCACCGCUUUGCUAAAGCGGCGUAGGAGUAAAAUCCUACCGCGGGUUCGAAUCCCGCCCUCUCC